rnacentral:rRNA from 1 species
CGCGUAGGUGGUAGUGUAAGUCUGGGGUGGAAUGCCGGGGCUUAACCCUGGAAUUGCCUUGGAAACUGCAUUACUUGAGUCAGUGAGGGGAGGGUAGAAUUCCUGGUGUAGCGGUGAAAUGCGUAGAUAUCAGGAGGAAGGCCUGUGGCGAAGGCGGCCCUCUGGUGUUGGACUGACACUGAGGCGCGAAAGCGUGGGGAGCAAACAGGAUUAGAUACCCUGGUAGUCCACGCCCUAAACGGUGGGCACUAGGUGUAGGGCUCGUAAGGGUUCUGUGCCGAAGGGAAACCAUUAAGUGCCCCGCCUGGGGAGUACGGCCGCAAGGUUGAA